ACGAACGCUGGCGGCGUGCUUAACACAUGCAAGUCGAACGGAAAGGCCCUGCUUGCAGGGUACUCGAGUGGCGAACGGGUGAGUAACACGUGGGUGAUCUGCCCUGCACUUCGGGAUAAGCCUGGGAAACUGGGUCUAAUACCGGAUAGGAGCCAUUUUUAGUGUGAUGGUUGGAAAGUUUUUUCGGUGUAGGAUGAGCUCGCGGCCUAUCAGCUUGUUGGUGGGGUAAUGGCCUACCAAGGCGGCGACGGGUAGCCGGCCUGAGAGGGUGGACGGCCACAUUGGGACUGAGAUACGGCCCAGACUCCUACGGGAGGCAGCAGUGGGGAAGAUUGCACAAGGGGCGCAAGCCUGAUGCAGCGACGCCGCGUGGGGGAUGACGGCCUUCGGGUUGUAAACUCCUUUCGCUAGGGACGAAGCUUUUUGUGACGGUACCUAGAUAAGAAGCACCGGCUAACUACGUG
rnacentral:rRNA from 1 species